rnacentral:rRNA from 1 species
UACGGAGGAUCCAAGCGUUGUCCGGAUUUAUUGGGUUUAAAGGGUGCGUAGGCGGACCAUUAAGUCAGAGGUGAAAGUUUGCAGCUUAACUGUAAAAUUGCCUUUGAAACUGGCGGUCUUGAGUAUAGUUGAGGUGGGCGGAAUGUGUCAUGUAGCGGUGAAAUGCUUAGAUAUGAUACAGAACACCAAUUGCGAAGGCAGCUCACUAAACUAAAACUGACGCUGAGGCACGAAAGCGUGGGGAGCAAACAGG